GCUUUCUUUCCCCAUUCCACCUCGUCUUCCUCGCCCCGCCUCCCUCCCUCGCCGCCACGCCCCGCCUCGCCGCCUGGACAAAUCCGGCGAGCCCCGAACCCCGGCUCUGCCGCCGGAUGCUCCCUGAUACCCGCCGCUGCCUCUAUCAUCUACCUCCGGCGGCGUGGCCCCGCUCCCCCACAUCGACCCGCGGUUUCUGGUGCCCGAUCGCGCCGGAGCUCCGCCUCGUCCACGUCGACAUCAGACUCGGCCGAAGAGGUUGCCGAGACCUUCAUGGUGCUUCUCGUCGGUCUGCUCCGCCGGACCCAACUGCCCUCGCGCCACGUGUCCUCCUAGGCUCCGUCCAGGCGGUCUGGCGCGGGAUGCGCCGGCUGCUCCCUCCGGAUGAGCAUCCUCUACCUCGAUGCACGUUGUCUGGUAUCCGAUCUGCAACUUCUGCCCGAUCCCUGGGAAUUAGUACGGCUUUGUGUUCUGAACUAGUGAGUCUCACUCGCACUCGCUCGCACCACUCGCUCUCCAGCGUGCUCUCCCUCUCCCCAUCGCCCCUCUCCGGGAUCCGCUCGCCGGCGGCCUCUCCCUCCCCCGAUCGCCUCUCGACGUCGCUGGCCUCUUCCACCACCCCCUUCCUCCCACCACCCCGCUUCCACUCAGUGAAGGUGAUGCGCCGGUGAAAAGAUUGAUUUUUUCCACCGGUGUCGGUGAUGAGCUUCUAUGCGACGGAGGCGCGCGGGCACUGGAUCUACGUGCGCCGGUGCUGUACGUGAGCGACGGAGGCGUUGGAUCUACGUGCGCCGGUGCUGUACGUGAGCGACGGAGGCGUUGGAUCUACGUGCGCCGGUGCUGUACGUGAGCGACGGAGGCGUUGGAUGUGGAGCGGCGGACCUGGAGCGCGGCCCAAGGAGCGGAUCUGGAGCGGCGGCGGAGCACCGGAGCAGCCGAGCGGCGUCGUCAUCCUCACCGUGUUGGGAAGGAGAUUGAUAGAGACACGCCAGGGUUCUGUCUCGCCUGCUGCAUUGUUUUGAUCACAGCUAGCCCGAGGGAAACAAUCUCAGGGAACCAGGCUCUCGAAACCGAGUCAGACUCCUACAGCGAGUCACUAGUCGAGAGACAGGGCGGCCGAUGCAAGCGAAGCGGCAAAUCAUCAGAUACAAGGCGAAUAAGAAGGAUGGUGUCCAACAGGGAGUCGGCUCGAUGGUCCAGGAGGAGGAACCACACGCAGCUAACUGACCUUGAAUUGCAGGUGGAAUGUUGUUGAGGUCUGGGAGAACCAUGUUGUACUGCUGCUGUUGAUCUGCAGAUGAUCUACUACUGCUGCUGCUACUAUCUACUGCUGCUGGUCCUGCUCAGCAGCAAUGAUGAGGCAACAGCAGUUCCUGCUCAGCAGCAAAUAGGAUGGAGGCGAGCGGCAGCAGGGGAUGGAGGCGCCAACAGCUCUUGAUUGAUGGUUCCAUAUCUGGUUCUUCAUUGGACGCUGUUGAACGUCCACACUGGAUAUGGAUUUUCUCCAUCAAUGGCCACUUGGGAUGGAUUAAAUAUAUAAGGCGUCCAGCUCUUCAAGUAUGGCACAGAGCCGGAGCAUCUGCUGUUCCACCAAAAGUCAGAAUCCUCGGCUGGAGGAUUGCCACUAAUUCUUUGGCUACAAAAAAGAACAAGUUCAGAAGGACUAUUGAGGUGGAUUCCACAUGUAUUAUAUGUGGAAACAGCGAGGAGGAUGAAUUUCAUGCAGUAGUCGAGUGUACCAAGAGCAGAGCUCUGAGGGAAGCAAUGAGAAAGGAAUGGGCACUCCCCCCAGAAAGUUCAUUUCGGCGCACUGGACCUGAUUGGCUGCAGUUGCUACUUAGUACUGUAACAGAGGAUAUGCGUGCGAGAUUAGUAAUGCUACUGUGGAGAUGCUAUGGAGUGAUCCGGGAUCUCAAAGAAGCACUGGCUUUGUUUGCAGAGCACAAGAUCUCUUUUGUUUGGAGGAAUUGCAACGUUUUAGCCCAUCAACUAGCUGCAGAGGCCAAACAGAAUGGAAACCUGCUAAUCAAUGCGGGGGUCCCGGAUAGAUUAAGGGAUCAGUUGACGUCGGAGUGUAAUCCUUCUACUUGAGUAAUCUGUUACUCUUGUUUCUCAAAAAAAAAAAUGCACAUGGUUAUGCUUUAACUGAUGAAAAUAUAAUUACUGAAAAAUAUAACUGCAUUAUGUGUUGUCUUCCUAUGUGUGCCAUGAACUAAUACUGUAUCAGUGCAUACAAAAUACAGAAUUACAUAAAAAGCGGUUGCUGUAUUCUGCACUACACAUGCAAUUCUUAAGAAACGAAGCAUAUUCAUCUGUUGAUUUAGCCACUUCAGCACGGAAAGCCUUUUUGCAGGUGUCUCUGUAUUGUUUCUUUGGACCGUGGUAUGCUUUUGGUUAAGACUAACAUGCUUGGUGGUUUAAUGAGUCUGUACAAUGUCUUACUCUUUCAGAAUGGAUGAGAUGAUGCAAAGGGCAAAGAAGAUGGAGAGAACUGCCUGAGCUGGGAGAACAGGUGUAAAGGUUCGCUGGCAUCUUAGGGAGCACAAUUUGGUCUCUCAAAGGUGGAGGCCUGGAAAAACUUUGGGACGGCUGGGAUUCCGCAGAGGUAAAAAUGUUCCCUCCCUCCCUCUCUGUUCAUUUCUUAUUGCUGGAUAUGUAACCGAAGAGUUUCCUCGCAAAAAAAAAAAAUGAAGUCACUUUUUUUGUAAGUACAAGAAUAGUACUACUCAUUGCGAACAACAAGCGUAGCAAGAACACCACACACCUAGGUAAGACCAAAUACACCAAUGGCCAAGCAAAACUACAAAGCAAAAGCGCCUGCCCUAACUGAGAACAACGCCGCGUCUCGACCAACGCCAAGCACCUCCGAAGACCACCAGAUCCCACUGAACUUUGCUUGUCAACGUACCAUCCACCCUGAGUGCCGAAGAGAAGGUGGCAAGUGAAUCGCAGGACUUAUCAGCUUCGAGGAAGACAUGUCUUGGACACACCGGUGAUGGUCGUACAUAGCACCGCCGAGGAUCAAAAUAGGACCACGAUGAACACCGGAGGAAGCAGCGAGGAACCAAGCCGUGUCUCCAAACAGGGUGUCUCCAAACAGGAUGCUCCCAACAGAGGAGCGACGUCGAGGACACCGCCAUCACGUCGAUCCUACACCGAAUCAAGGCUUCCGCCCGGAGACAAUAACCAACUCCACACGAGCGGAGAGCGAGGGAGAUGUCGAACACACCUCGACGACGCCUCCAAGAAGGGGAACAACACCCAUAGGUGCCAUCGCCGCCGGCCCGGCAGAAGCCGUGCAAGAUUUUCAUCCGAUCAUCGCACAUCUCCACAUCUCGAAAGAAUUGGGUAGCACUAUCCAAGUAGCCUCGCACCGCCGCCACCGCAACACCUCGCCGUCGUAGCUGCAAAGCCGAGGACGCCGACAGACUGCACGGCGGAGAGAAACGCGGUCCAACCAACUCGUUCCACCUGGCCGAGGGACAACAGCCACCCAACAUCUCCGGCAAGAGCAUGGACUGACCGCGAAGGCUAUCACCCGCUCCAAGGGAUAGCCUAUCGACAACCUAGCACCUAACAACGGACAACUCCCACGCCGGCACCACCUGGAGAGCAACGCCGCUCGCCAUGCAGCCUAGAGGUGGCCUGGCGCUCGCUGCUCGCCAGGAACUCCAUCCUAGCCAAACCAUCACAAGCCGCCACCAGUCUGGUCGGUAGAUCGCACCGCCGCCUCCAGACACGCUGCCGCGUCGGUCCGCCUCACCACACCACUGUCUGUCCUCUCCAAGACCACCACUCCACGCCUCCCACUGUGCACCGUCGACAGCCACCACCACAUUGAGCCACCACCUCAGCCGCCUGCACCACCAUCGUGCCUAGCAGCCAUGGAGGCACGGCGUCACCAUGCCUGAAGGUAGCAGCGACCGAAUCCCGACUGACCAGAUUCAAAUCCGGGACGAGCCGAGACCCCCGGCCGCCGCUGCCACAUGCAGCACCACCGGACGGCGCCGCGCCACCACCACAGCCACCGUGCCGAGCCGCCACCGGAACUUCGCUGCUCCAAGCCGCCAAGCUUCAUCCAACAGAAGCGCGCCACAUGGCUAGGAGGAGAGGGGCCGCGCCGAGGAGAGACCCCGCUGCCACCGGCGUUGCCCGGGCUUUGCUCGGCGGUAGCGAGGGGGAAGGGAGGGACCCUUGGGGGGGGGGGGGGGGCGGCGGCGGAGUUCUAGGGUUCCCCUCGUUUCGCCUCAAGGAGGGAUGCAGGGCUCGGGGGGAAAGAGUUGAACAUUAAGAUUCAAAACUGAAGACUGAAGAGUCACAAGCAAGAUAUAAAAGAAUAAAGUAACCACAAAAGAAAUAAUAAAUUUUAAUAUUUUUCCGCCCAUCCACCCUCGCACGUGCUCAGCUCUUUAUAUCGAAGAGCGAGCACGCACCCACUAUUUAUUUAUUUUACAAUGAUGAUGAAACAUGAUUACUUGACGAGCUUGGUUGUCAUAAGGAACUCUGGGAAUCUUUGCGUCUAUUACUUGACGAGCUUUUGCAACCCAACGCGAUUUAGAUAUUUUAGUCUAUGUAGGGCGGCCAUGAGGCUUGAAGAUAAUCUUGGAAGAACACUUAGCAACAUUAUGUUGAGUCCCCUAAGGUAGUACAGCUCCUGCUUCUUCUUCAUGGACAAAUCCAGGCCGUGCGUCCCGGAGUUUCUGUAAAAGGCCAGGACUUCUUCCCGGGGGUCGGUACCAGGAAAGUUAUAUUUUGGAGGCGGAGCUUGCUUUUGCACUUGAGCCGCCGGCGCCGGCUGAUUGCUGCCUGUAUUCGCACCCUGCAUGGCGGGUCUAGUAGCAGUCCGUGUUGUUGUAGCAGCAGUAGUUGGCACAAGCACAGGUCCAGUAGCAACCGAUCUUGUAGCAGCAGCAACGGUCUUCUUGUGGUGCGCGUUUCCUUUUCCAGUAGCAGCCUUUGGCCUUUGUUGAUGCUGUGCAGAUGAUAAACUUGGCCCGUUGGUGUUGGCCCUUGGCUGCUGCGUAGCUGAUGAUGAAGAUUGCAUGCUGAUCCUUGGCUGUUGCAUAGCUGAUGAUGGAGAUUGCAUGCUGAUCCUUGGCUGCUGCGUAGCUGAUGAUGAAGCUUGCAUGUUGAUCCUUGGCUGCUGCAUAACUGAUGAUGAAGCUUGCACGCUGAUCCUUGGCUGCUGGGUAGCUGAUGACGUUGAUGGAGUUUGCACGCUAAUUCUUGGCUGUUGGGUAGCUGAUGAUGCUGAUGAUGAAGCUUGCACGCUGAUCCUUGGCUGCUGGGUAGCUGAUGAUGAAGCUUGCACGCUGGUCCUUGGUUGCUGACUGGAUGUUGAAGCUGGCGUUGGGACAUGAGGAGGAGCGCCCUUCUGAGCCUUUUUUUUCUUCCAGUUGUCAAGUUUCCUAGCAUUAUAACAGGCAGAUAGGUAAGUGUUAAAGUUAGUCGGAACUUCCCAAUCAGGUGGAAAGUCAAGUGAGGCUAGUAUGUCUUGGUAAUCUGUUGGAUUGGAAAGUUUAAUGCGGUUCAGCACAAAUGUAUACGCUCUAACACAAGCAUCCUUUUUCUCGGCCAUAUCUAGGAGCGAGGGAUGGACAUAAAUCAAGUCUCUGUUUGCAAAGCCAUUUGAGGCAAGCAAAUCAAGUAGGUCCUCUAUCUCAGGCGCUAUAUUUAGAUAGCCGGCCAGCACGUUUUCACGAAGAAUGCGACCAAGAACGGCCAGGUUAUUAUCAAUCAUGGCAUUGGUUGCUCUUACGUAAGUGAGACCCUGCCUAAACUUGGUCACAUUACCUUCAUCCAAAAGCACAAGGAUAUCCUCUGGUUGGAGGUUUAUCAGGCAAAGAUUAUCAUCGAACAUAUUUUUAAACAACUGUAAGAGGUUUAUUGCAAGCACUCGCCCUACCUCGGAAAAGUGGGGUAAGGUAGGGUCUAGGAUGUGGACUAAAUGAUGAGGUACUCCUGGAACAACUAUGUCAAGUAUUAUUCUGUUUCUCGCAACGUAAUCAGGAAGUUUGCUCGUCCUAGGUGACACGAUUUUGUUCUGCUGGGUUAAGCAAUCAUAGCAUAUGAAUUGAUAGUACUUGUUGCAAACAUCAAUAAAAUUAGUCAUUUUCAGUGAGAGCGAAAGGGAGUCAAGGGGAAAGGGAAACCCCCUGGGAUGAUGCUGGAGCUCCAAACACUUUGUCCAGCCCCGGUUGGAGUCCCUCGCAAUCGUUCGCGUCCGACUGGAAAUACAUAAGGAUCAUGCAUAUUGUUAGCUUUUGCUGACACUUAGAAAUUAUUAAGCACAUAUCAAGAUUGUCACUUUUUUCAUUAACAUCUGUCCCAACGUGAUCUACUUAUGUAUGGCAUGUUUUAUUUGAGGAAGAACAAAACAAGAAAAAGAACAGCAGCAGCAGAUUCUACAGCAACAUUUUCUGUCCUUUUUUGUUCCAACAGAAGAAGAACAAAAGAGGUCGAUAAUCAUGUUUUCCCGAAAUCAUCUUCAGAUUCGAAACAGUCAUCUACAGCAGAAGAAGAAGAAAGAAGAAGAAGAAGAAGCAGCAGAAGAAGAAAAAAAUUUGAGGUUUUUUUUUUUGGCAGUAGAUCAGGAGAAGCAAAGAAAAAGAAGAAGAAAAGAAGUCGAUCCAAUAAGGCCAGUUUUGCGGAAAUCAUCGUCAGAUUCGAAACUGUCAUCUGCUGCUGUUUUCUUGCAGGCAAAGGCAAAAAAUAGACAUCUACAGCAACGUUUUAUGUCCUUUUUUUUUCUUCUUGUUGUUUCUUGAUUAUCAUGAGAUCGACCGGUCAAUAUCAUGUUUUUUUUGCGGAAA